GCAGUCGUACGAGAGUUUUUAACUCANGUGGCGGACGGGUGAGUAACACGUAAGAAUUUGCCUUUAGGAGAGGGAUAACAGCUGGAAACGGCUGCUAAUACCUCAUAUGCUUUCGAGUGAAAUGGAUUUCCGCCUAAAGAGAAGCUUGCGGCUGAUUAGCUUGUUGGUAAGGUAAAGGCUUACCAAGGCGACGAUCAGUAGCUGGUUUGAGAGGACGAUCAGCCACACUGGGACUGAGACACGGCCCAGACUCCUACGGGAGGCAGCAGUGGGGAAUUUUCCGCAAUGGGCGAAAGCCUGACGGAGCAAUACCGCGUGAGGGAUGAAGGCCUGUGGGUUGUAAACCUCUUUUCUCAAGGAAGAAGUUCUGACGGUACUUGAGGAAUAAGCAUCGGCUAACUCUGUGCCAGCAGCCGCGGUAAUACAGAGGAUGCAAGCGUUAUCCGGAAUCACUGGGCAUAAAGCGUCUGUAGGUUGUUUAGUAAGUCUGCUGUUAAAGACUAGGGCUUAACCCUAGGCCAGCAGUGGAAACUGCUAGACUUGAGUGUGGUAGAGGUAGAGGGAAUUCCUAGUGUAGCGGUGAAAUGCGUAGAUAUUAGGAAGAACACCAAUGGCGAAAGCACUCUACUGGGCCAUAACUGACACUAAGAGACGACAGCUAGGGGAGCAAAUGGGAUUAGAUACCCUGGUAGUCC
rnacentral:rRNA from 1 species